GCUACUGCAACUACUUUUCUAAUUUCUCGCUAAGGCUUCUUCUUCAAUUCUGCUUUAGUGCUUCUCCUCUCUGUCUCUCACGGCACUAAAAUCCCAGUGCUCAUAUCGCCCAUCGCAAUCAUCUCUCUCUGUCUCUCACAGUAUUAAUCGCGAUCCUUCCCCUACCUCUUCGGCUCUUCCCCAGCCUAGCUAGUCGCGACCCUUCCCCAUCCGUGCCCUAACCUUUCCCCAUCCGUGCCCUAACCUCUGCUGCACGAUUGUACCCCUCGACCCCUGUUUGGUCUCUGCAGUGAGCACUCUACAUAGUACACACAAUACAUGGUAAUCAUAGUGAUAUAAUUAUGUUUUAAAUUUUUGAUGCUCUGCAGUAAUGCCCCUGUUUCAUCGAUUAUGAUUUCUUUGUGUUGUCCAUUUGGUUAUUACAUAUUAGCCUUCUAUUCAAUUGGUCUUAAUCUGAAUAUUUUUAAUUAGAUAUUUGAUCUUCCUCAGAUUAUGUUUUGUUAUCAGAGCCACCUAAAAUGUCCACUAUGCUCAAUUCUACAUUUCUACUGAUGAUGUCUUAUUCAGUGUUCCCUUCUUUAUGAGUGGUUAUUAAAUAUAUAAGGUAGGUUCAGGCCAUCAGGUUUCAGUGCUACCCUGAUGACCAAGUUUAAUUGGGCAAUGUUUAUUACUCAUUUAUGACUCCCAAUUGGAUCCGGUUAACAUGAAGUUAUUUUUUUGGUAAGUUAGUUAAUUGACCAAUAGAAUACUGACACACAUAAAACCUCGCUUGCGUGUCAGUAUUCUAUUGGUCAAUUGACCAACUUACCCCAAAAUAAACUUCAUUCUAACCACUUCUCAAUUUAUGCAAUGUUGCUCUGUAGUUUUAAGUUUCAUUUUUCUAAGUUAAUGUAUAACAAUAUAAGUGGAAAUUGGCAUUUUUCAUUCUAACAGUAAUGGAAAAUAAAAUUUAGAAUCAAUUUAUUAAUAUAUUUAAAUAUUUAUUAUUUAUUACAUAUUACUGACGUGACUAGGUCAAUAACGGUCCGACCACUGGUUGGAUCAGUCACUCAUCUGCUUGUUAGCUUUUCCGGUUCGAUAACCCGUCCGGGUUUGAAAACCUUCAAUGAUGAAAGCAAUUUUUUUUAAAAAAUCAUGCAUUAAGACAAAAACAUAUUACAACGAAAUUUCCUAACUUGAAAAGCUAAUAGAUUAGUUUUAACAAACAUACACCUAGGAACCUUCUUAAUCCUGCAAACAGUAAAACAAAGAACCUAAAUAAGAAGUAUCAUCAACUAUUAAAGGUAAAAUAUGUACCAAUUAAAGGAUACUUCUUCAACAGUUUCAUGAGCUGUAAUGAAUUUGUUAUCAUAAUUAAGUCAUAAGGCUGUAACAGAUUGUAAGAGCUACUUAGUUGUUCCUUAGAAUUAGGAAACAUGAAAUGUAGAUAAGGCACACUUAGAAGGGUGGUUGAAUAAGUGUGGGAAUAAAUUAUGAUCAAUUUUUGAACUUAAACCAAACUACUAAAUUCGGCUUACUAUAUUAACGAAAGCAGCUGGCUGUAUAAAUUUGGCCUACUGGAUUGAGUCUUUGAUUUUAUUGUUUAAUGAAAAUAACUUGUUGAAAUUAUAACUUUAUGAAAAUACUUGGUGUUAAUAAAUUUUCUUAAGAUAAAGAAAAUAUCCAAAAUUUAAUUAUCAAUAUAAUUAAAUAGCUUUUGUGGGUAACUAAAGUAAAGCGAGUAAUAAAAUGAACACUAAGAUUUUUUACGUGGUUCAACUAUUACCCUCUAUAAUAAUAGCCUAAUCCACGUUCAAUACCAACUAGUAUUGAAGAAUUACUAUAUUUCUUUAAAUUGACUCUAUUUACAAAACAGAUUCUUUCAAAACUUGAAUUACAAAAAUUCGAUUGAGCACUUUUGCUCUUUGUGCACCAAUACACUCAUUAAACACCUAUGUUUCCUUGAAUCUGUUUGUAAACAAAUCUUAAUCCACCCAGAUUAAAUGUCUUUGGACAACACUUAGUCUAAACAAAAAUAUUACAACUAUAGAAGUCUAAUGAUUAAAGUAAAUAAACAAUUUAACAAUGUAAGACUUGACUGAUAUAUGCAAGAGUAAAUAGAUAUCACUAAUUUAGAGCUCAUAAAAAAUUUGUUGAAAGAUAAUCUGAAUAUAAUUGCAGUAGCAGCUUGUAUAAUUACACCAAGAAUAAUAAAAUGACUUUUCAAUGCAUAUUAAUGCAAGAUAAUUCGUAUGUUGUGUUUAAGCUGAUAUCUCAAUUGAUUUUUAUAACCAUAAAAAUAUUACCGUUGCACCCCAAAUAGAUUUAAUUUUAUCGUUAUAUCUGGAUAGCUCAGGUUAGUGAAAUAACGAAUGAAUCGGGAUAAUCUCAUAAUAUAUUUAAAAUCAGAUUGCGUUGCUUGACUUAUUCAAAGAGAUAAUCCAUUCAAUUAAUUAGAUUGACUAUUUCACAUAAAUAACCCACUAAAGAGAUAAAGUAAGUUGGGUAAACUCCUUGUCCACUAAUGUGAUAUGAAUUAGUGUUAGUUCUGUAAUUAUCACCACAUGUAAACAUAUCACACUAUUUUUGGAAUAAGCCAGUUAGGAAAUUUACAAGUGUCAGUUGCGUCAUAAUUGCUAUGUGUUAACCAAAACAAACUUUCCAGGAUAAUCAUUAACUUAGAGUCCCAAGACUUAUGCACUAGAAAAAAGAUGACAUAUAUACAUUGCCACGUGCAUUAAUAUAUCCCAUUAAGAUUCUCUCGAAUAGCAACAUUUGAAUUUUUCAAAAAUCUUAGCAUAUACGUCUGUUCCCAAUUUAGUUGCUAACCAAUAUAUUUUGUAAAUCACGGAUUAUUUCAAUAUUUUAUUUCAUUUUAAGCAUUCAUAAAAUACUUAUCAUAUUAAAUGCACAUAAAAUGAUCUAGAGUCUUGAAUUAAAAAACCAAAUAUUUGAAAUGACCUUGCAUUAAAUCCUAGUACACAGUCUUUAAAUUUUUUGAUCAAAUCAUCAAUGAUCUUUUUAUCAAUUUCCUGAAAUUUCACAAUAAACGAUUUAGUACAAAACUUAAGUCAUCAUCAAAACAAUAAGGUUAGAAUAUUAACAAGUCAACAUUCUCUCCCUUUUUAAUUAUGACAACACCAAAAAUUAUAGUUCCCCCUAAAUCCAUGCAUAUAUAUAAAAACUGUAUUUUAGACAUAAAUAAAAUCAAAUUACCCAUCAUGCCUUUUGUUUAGGCAUUAUUCAUAACUGCAAAUAUGUUAGUUUUAACAAAUACUAGGCAAUAAUCAAAUCUAUUUAAAAGCAAAUUAUCUCAAAGUCUAGUGCAGUAAUGCAGGUGCAGAUAUCAAUCAAUCGUCUUAAAAAUAAACAUAACAGAAAUCAAAUAGUCUUAAAACAUAACAUAAUCAGCAAAACAACCAGCCAGCCAACAGUCCAUCCAAUGUGUCUCCCCCUUUGUCAUCAUUCAAAAAGAAUGUCAAUCAAUAUCUUCAACAUGUGCUAUGUUUAAAGUAUAUUUAGUAAAAUAGGGACAAUGAAGAAUGCGAUGAAGUCUUUCUUUUAAGGACAAAGUAUUAGCAAAAUGAGGGGGACGAUGAAUAAAAGUGGCAUUGGGAAGAGGAAGAUCCAUAAAAUCACCAACAUAUUCGACCAUCUAAUUGCAUCGAGGCCAUUCAGGAAUAUGUGAAUACAUCCUUUGAAAAUGCAACUUCUGACCAACAUCAUUCAAUCUUGUAGCCAUAAAAUCACCGAACUCUCCAAUUUGAUAACUAACAAACUUCAUUUCUUGACUCAGUUGGCAUGAAUUCUGAUUGAUCUUUUGUUGUAGGGCUUCAACCAUCGCCACUGUUUGUAAUUCAAAGCCAGCCUGUAGAUUAAUGAAUUCAUCUUCCAUUCGAGAAAAACACUGCUAUAAAUCAUUAGCCCGUAUCGGCAGCUUGCCUUUUUCUAAGAUACUAAGUCUGUGUUUGAUAUCAACAAUAUCGGUAUGCAUUGUUUCUUGAUUACGAAGAAUUUGAGUCAGUAAACUUAACACUUCAGGAGAUGAAACAGAAUAAUUUGGCAAAGUAGAUGAUGAUGGAUUAUCAGAGGGCAAAUAAGAAGACAAAAAAGAAUGUGGGAUAGGUAAAGGGUCAGGAACAAUCUGAAUAAACACACCAUUGACAAGAGAGAUAUGAGAUUGUUUCAUGUUUGCAGAAUUAACAAAGUGAUUGUUUGACACAACAAUUUCAUCAUCAAGAGAUUUUAAAGUGCUGAAAAAUUUUGGUUAGAAACCCGCUAUAAGGAAGACACUUCUUAGAUUGACGAAUACAACUUAACAUGUGAGAUAGCAUCAUGAGUGAAAAAAUAAAAGAAACACCCUUAAGAAUCAUUGCCACAACCACUAAGUCUUGAUAUGUAAAAUCUGCACCACCCCCAAGGCGGGGAAACAUAUUAUAAUGUACCAAUUUGUGUAAGACACAAGUAGUAGGACAAACAUCAACCGUUUUUAGAGUAAAUAGAGAAGACAAAGUAUGAUUAUCCGGAACAAUUUGGAGUUAUUCAAGAGGUGGAAAAGGAAUAUUUGCAGCACCCUUCAAGGUGAAUGGACAAGGACCAGUAGAAGGAAUGUUAAGAAUACUUCCAAAAUCAACAACAGUAAAGAACAUAGAUUUUUCCUUAACAAACGAUGUAUAACAAUCACCAUUACACUCAAGAUUUGUGUAAAAUUAUUGGGCCAAGCGAGGAUAGGCUUUUCUGUGGGGAAAGAGCAUAACAGAUAUACCACAAGAAUUAAAAAGUUUUUCCAAAGGAGAAUUCUUAAAAUAAAACAAAUCCAAAAUUUUCUCAUAAACGAACUGUUUUGUAGCAAUCGAAGUUUUAAAACAAGUUUCAAAACUAUGACCUCUGAUUUUUUUUUUGGCAGAUCAUAAAAAGAAGAAACACAGU
rnacentral:lncRNA from 1 species